rnacentral:rRNA from 1 species
GACGAACGCUGGCGGCGUGCCUAAUACAUGCAAGUUGAGCGAUGAAGAUUGGUGCUUGCACCCAUUUGAAGAGCAGCGAACGGGUGAGUAACGCGUGGGGAAUCUGCCUUUGAGCGGGGGACAACAUUUGGAAACGAAUGCUAAUACCGCAUAACAACUUUAAACAUAAGUUUUAAGUUUGAAAGAUGCAAUUGCAUCACUCAAAGAUGAUCCCGCGUUGUAUUAGCUAGUUGGUGAGGUAAAGGCUCACCAAGGCGAUGAUACAUAGCCGACCUGAGAGGGUGAACGGCCACAUUGGGACUGAGACACGGCCCAAACUCCUACGGGAGGCAGCAGUAGGGAAUCUUCGGCAAUGGACGAAAGUCUGACCGAGCAACGCCGCGGGAGUGAAGAAGGUUUUCGGAUCGUAAAACUCUGUUGGUAGAGAAGAACGUUGGUGAGAGUGGAAAGCUCAUCAAGUGACGGUAACUACCCAGAAAGGGACGGCUAACUACGUG